GCUGGGCUAAGAAGAACAUUGGUUUUUCCGGAUCACAAAACUCUUGAGUUAAGAGAGUCAUUAAAAAAUUUCUCAUUCAAGCACAAUCUCUCUUUAAAACAAACUAAUCUCACGUAUUCCCAAAUUUCCCCUUUUUACAUUGAGCUUUUCUUUUCUUUCCUUUCUUUUUUUUUUGUUUUUUUCUUUUUUUUUCUCCUUUCAUACUUGCUCAAUGCUUAUUCUUUAAAACUUCCCAACAACCCCAAACUUGAACCUUUAUCAAUACCAUAUGAAUAUUCUU
rnacentral:lncRNA from 1 species